GGUUAAGCGACUAAGCGUACACGGUGGAUGCCCUGGCAGUCAGAGGCGAUGAAGGACGUGCUAAUCUGCGAUAAGCGUCGGUAAGGUGAUAUGAACCGUUAUAACCGGCGAUUUCCGAAUGGGGAAACCCAGUGUGAUUCGUCACACUAUCAUUAACUGAAUCCAUAGGUUAAUGAGGCGAACCGGGGGAACUGAAACAUCUAAGUACCCCGAGGAAAAGAAAUCAACCGAGAUUCCCCCAGUAGCGGCGAGCGAACGGGGAGCAGCCCAGAGCCUGAAUCAGUGUGUGUGUUAGUGGAAGCGUCUGGAAAGGCGCGCGAUACAGGGUGACAGCCCCGUACACAAAAAUGCACAU
rnacentral:rRNA from 1 species